rnacentral:lncRNA from 1 species
UGGAGAAGGGAUGCCGUGCUUGGAAGGGCACUCGGCAGCUGGAGGAGGAAAUGAGAUUGGAGAACUUGCUGAGCCGUUUUAUAAACCAUUUGAGUUGGAAGACAGCGUUGCUGAGCUGCAGGGCUGAGGCUGCAUGGACCUGCUGGCAGAGAGCACAGAAAGGCGGCUUUAUCCCACACUCCAUUUUGCGGUAUGAAAACAUCAGAUGGGUUUUUAACCAAUCAUUAACAUUCUGGGCGUACUCAGUCCUGCUCCAGUUCAGGGGCCUAGACUAGAUGACCUACUAUGGUCCUUCCAGUCCUACGUUUCUAUGAUUUCUACUAGUAUGAUUUUUUUACCCUCCUUUACACAGCGACGGUGUCUUGUGGAUUCUUCAUUGUUGUUCUUCACUUUUUUAGUUUCUUUAGAGUCUGGUUUUGUUUGUUUUGGGUUGUUGUUGUCUUUGUAAUUCAACAUUCAUUUUGUACUUCCGACCUCUGCGCAAACCUUGGGGUUUACCCCUCUUUUUUCUCAGUCCUCGGUGUCUGGAUUUCUAUACAGAUCAGGUUUUAGCUUUCAGUUUAUUACUAUUUUUUCUCUCACUUUUAAAUCCCUUUCUUUAUUCAUAGAUCUUUAAGACUAGAAGGGACUAUUAUAAUCAAUUAGUCUGACUUCCUACAUAAGAGGCCAGAGAACCUCGCCUAGUAAAUCUGGCAUCAAGACCAUAAUUUCUGUUAGAGUUAGAGCAUACUUUUUAGAAAGAUACCCAGUCUGGAUUUAAAGAUUUCAAGCUACAGAGAAUCCACCAUAUUCCUUGUUACAUUGUUCCAGUGGUUUAAUUACCUUCAGUUAAAAAAUUGGGUUUUAUUACUAUUCUGAAUUUGUCUAGCUUCAGCUCCCAGCCAUUGGAUCUCCUCAUGUUUUUUUCUGCUAGAUUAAACAGCUGUUUACUAUUCGGUAUCUUUCCUAUGUAGAUUCUUGUUGACCAUGAUCAAGUUGCCUCCUUUUCAGAUUUCUCUUGGAUAAACUAAACGGAUCGAGCAUCUCAAGUCUCUCACAACGUACAAUUAACCUGUGGAACUCACUGCCAGGGGAUGUUGUGAAUGCCAAAAGUAUAACUGGGUUCAAAAAAGAACUACAGAAGUUCAUGGAAGACUGGUCCCUCAGUGGCUAUUAGCAACCCCAUGCUUGAGGCCAUGCUAAACCUCUGACUGCCAGACGCUGGGAGGGGAAGCCUGGUGGAUCAUUCCAGCUGCCUUAUUCUGUGCACCCCUGUACACCCUCUGGUCACUGUCAGAGACGGGAUACUGGCCUAGAUGGACCAUUGGUUUGACCCAGUAUGGCCGUUCUUAGGUUCUUAUGCUUAGAGGGCAUAUAUAACUGUAAGACUUUUCUAUUAGUGUGAAGCCCCUCGAAUAAAUGUAAUUGGUGGAAUUAUUUUGUAUUGCA